GGAUGGGAGAGCGAUCGGGCUGCAACAUCUGUCACCCCAUUGAUCACCAGGGUUGGUUUGGCUGACCUGGCUGGUUAGACAGUGUCCCCUCCUCCCUCACUGCUCCGUGCGCGUUCCUCCUGAAGCUGCUCACUCGGUGGAAGAGGGCAACCUUCCCGGGGAGAGGAGGACUGGUCUUCGGGCAAGGGUAUUUGAGUAGCUGCGCUCCCCGGCUAGAACCUCCAAACAAGCUCUCAGGGCCCAUUUGUAGGAGAGCAUAGGGUUGUCAAGCUUCCAUACUCCAGACACAUCCAAAUCAGGCUCUGCAUGUGGCACUCUGCCUUCCUUC
rnacentral:snRNA from 1 species